rnacentral:rRNA from 1 species
GACGAACGCUGGCGGCAUGCCUAACACAUGCAAGUCGAACGAGACCUUCGGGUCCUGUGGCGCACGGGUUCGUCAGGGGUCGGAAGAGUACCUCGUGGUCGGAAUAACUCUCCGAAAGGGAUACCAAUAGCGAACAAUGGCUACUAACCAAUGAUAUAUUGCCUUUGAAUGUGCCGGCGUGGAAGUAGCUAGUUGGUAGGGUAAAAGCCUACCAAGGCUACGAUGCAUAGCUGGUCUGAGAGAAUGAUCAGCCACACUGGGACUGGGACACGGCCCAGACUCCUACGGGAGGCAGCAGUGGGGAAUGUUGGACAAUGGGCGAAAGCCUGAUCCAGCAAGGCCGCGUGAGUGAUGUAGGCCUGAGGGUUGUAAAGCUCUUUUACCCGGGAUGAUAAUGACGGUACCGAGAGAAUAAGCUCCGGCUAACUCCGUG